rnacentral:lncRNA from 1 species
AAGUACCCCACCCCUGCUCCAGCCCCCACCUCACCCUGCUGCAUGGUUCUGGCCCCACUGGGUUCCCAUCCACAGCCCUAGGUCUGCCCAUUUCCUUGGGCUCCUGUUACUCAGCUUCUACUUCCCUUCUUCAGAUAUGAAGAUCUGCCCCCACACCUCUGUCUUUUGCUGCUGCUGUUGCUCAAGCGCCUGCUUGCCACUUACCCAUUAUGUGUCUAUCAGUGAGUGAACCUUUUCCCUCUCAGAAAUUGAACAUCCACAUUCUGAAAGCCAGCUCAUUGGCAUCUCCCUUCUGGGGGGUCCCAAGGACAGUAUGAGGGGCACUGGGUGUCAGAACUCAGCCUGGGAAGAGGCCUGGGCUGGGGACCCCUGUCAUAGCUGGGCCUCAGUUACUCACAAGCCACUCAUAGCCUCUCCCCCAAGGUGGUGACCUAGACUUCUCAGGGUGAGCAAGAGGCUAAUAAGGCUAAUUGGAAAGGUGGUGGCCUGGCAGCCCAUUAGCUGGCUCUCUGGCCUGAAUGAGUGAACAGGAAGCAGUAGCUAGACAUGUCUUAGUGGGAUAAAGGAGGCCCAGGUAGUCUCCUGAGUUCCUGAAAGACAGAAGGCAAAGAGCCCUGGGAUCUGCUGGGAGGUGGUGGUUUCUCCUCCACUGCAUCUCCCUCCCUCCUGCUCUGGUCCUGGCCCCACCCUGACCAAUUUCUCACCGGUGUUGCCGAGAGUAGAGAGUAGGGGAGUAUCAGUAUCAAAGGGAGGUGCCCAGGAGGCUGUCCUCCUACCCAGUCUCCUCAAACAGCCACCAGCCCCGUGAAGUCCUCCUCCCCUCACCUGAACCCAUUUCUAGAACUUCUUGUCUCCUCACAAAGGUAGCUCUGUCCUUGGAGCCCUUUGGUUGGUCUAUCCUGUUCUCUCUGCCUCCUGACCUGCCUUGGAUUUGUGGCCAGCAUGGUGAUGGAGAUGUCCUGUAUCUGUGCUGUCUGAUGCUAUAGCCACUAGGCACGUGGGACUACUGAACUCUUGGAAUUCACUGAGGAAUUUCACUUAACUCUAAUUAAUGCCUGCCUUGGAAGGUUUUUGUAAAGAUCAUAUAGGAAAUUAUCAGAAAGAAUGAUACAAGGGCACAGUCCCCCUGGCAUGGGUACUCAGGAAAUGGAGCCCCACUGCUGCUCCUGCCUGCAUCCUCCCUUUGGGGGAAAACAAAUAGUAGAAGGGUUUACCCACAGCCCAGGCUCUCUCUAGCCCAUCCCCCACUGGGAGACUCUCCUCUGCUCCCUUCCCACCUUGGGUAGAAAACCUGAGGCCCGGGCUGUUUAAAAUGAUGUUGCUCUCUCAGGACAUCAGCGCCCCUCCCUAGACUCUCAGGCCCCAUCUAGGAUCUAGGGAAGGGGAAAGGGUGUGGAGCAGGGACAGGAGUGGCAGGGAGAAGAGGGGAAAGGAGCCUUAUGGCGGAGAGCAGCUGGGCUGUCCCCAAGUGGGUGGAGAGAAUGCAGGGACUCUGGGUUGUUCUUUUCCAGCACAUGCCUCCCCUGAGCAGCCAGAGUCUUGUUUUCUUCUUCACAUUCCUCCUGGCUGCUGUCAGCCUUUGGCCAGGACAGUCGGGCUGGAGGAGGCUGUCUCUCUCGGCCUCCAGGCAAGUCUCCAACCACCCACAUGGGCAUUCCUCCGUGGGCUGCUCCCCUCCUGUUCUAUUUCCACUCUUCCUCUCAUCCUGCCACCCUGGGCUGCCCAGGUCCCCAACUGUCCUUCCUACCUCUGGGCCCUGAAGCUCCAGUUAGCCCUCCCUGAAGUCCCAUCAGCUCCCCUGUGCAGUGGUCCCUGUCCCCCAUCCAUGGUUUCACUUUUCAGUUGCUUUUGGUGGGUAAAUAUAAAAUUCCAGAAAUAAACAAGUCAUAAGUUUUAAAUAACUUUCAUCAUAAAAUAUAGUUAUAAUUGUUCUAUUUUAUUGUUGUUAAUCUUCCUGUGCUUAAUGUAUAAAUUAAUCUUUAUCAUAGAUACGUAUAGACAGGAAAAAUCAUAGUAUAGUACACAUAGGGUCAGGUAGUAGCCACUGUUUCAGUCGUCACUGGGGGUCUUGGACUGUGUCCCUUGCAGUUAGGGGGUGUAGCUCUAUUUUAUUCUGCUGUGUUCUUUGUCCUCACCAUUAGCCUUUCUCUCAGCUCAGGCAGGGAAACCCUGAAGUUAACGGGCUAAGGAAGGAAGGGAAGGGACAUUGGUUGAGUGCCCACAUAGGGCAGGGUCAUCC